GUAACACGUGGGCAAUCUGCCCUUCACUCUGGGACAAGCCCUGGUAAACGGGGUCUAAUACCGGAUAAUACUCCCGGCCUCAUGGGCGGGGGUUGAAAGCUCCGGCGGUGAAGGAUGAGCCCGCGGCCUAUCAGCUUGUUGGUGAGGUAAUGGCUCACCAAGGCGACGACGGGUAGCCGGCCUGAGAGGGCGACCGGCCACACUGGGACUGAGACACGGCCCAGACUCCUACGGGAGGCAGCAGUGGGGAAUAUUGCACAAUGGGCGAAAGCCUGAUGCAGCGACGCCGCGUGAGGGAUGACGGCCUUCGGGUUGUAAACCUCUUUCAGCAGGGAAGAAGCGAAAGUGACGGUACCUGCAGAAGAAGCGCCGGCUAACUACGUGCCAGCAGCCGCGGUAAUACGUAGGGCGCAAGCGUUGUCCGGAAUUAUUGGGCGUAAAGAGCUCGUAGGCGGCUUG
rnacentral:rRNA from 1 species